AUAUAAUCUCAACCCCUUUUUCUUUUUGUUGAAGGGUUUUGGAUGUGGGGGGUUUGCUGGCCUUCUUAAAGAGGGUUCAGCUCCCCUGAAAUGCAUUAGCAGAAACGACCUUGCUCAUUGGUGUGAUAACUAUCAACGCUUAUGAAUGUGAGGGGCAGUUCAGCUUUCUAACCGUCUUUGGACAAUUCAUCAUUA
rnacentral:misc_RNA from 1 species